AAAGGAUCAAGACCUGUUUGUACCACUGCUUCGCCUGACAGCUAAAGAACCAGUUUGGCGUCUGGUUUGUCUGUUGUUUUACUGCUGACCUUCAAAUCAACUUUAACCCCUGACUCCUACAAGCAUAUAUCAUGACAAGAGCCUGUUUAACACAAAUGGUACCCAUCUAAAGGGGAAGAGAGUCAAGAUUUCCUUUUUUUAUGAAGAAUUUGGUUUUUCACCCCUCUUUUCUCAUUCACCACAGGUGAAAUCCUUCCUAGCAGCUGGCUUAUGAAAUAUUGUGAUGGGAGGCCUUAUUAAGUUGAAAGCAACCUCAGCUGGAGAUUAAUGUAUGCAAAUGAGAUGCACAAACAAAGGAUCCUGGACAGAGAAAUAUCUGCAAAUCCAGCAAAAUGCUGCCCGCAGCUAGAAGAAGAACAACAGCUUUGAUAAAAUGGUAACAAAAAAGCACCUUUUUUAUCCUGCAGCAUGUUUUACAUUGCAAUAGACCAUUGUCAUUGUAACCCAUCAGGGCAUGCCGAGUUUCUC